rnacentral:lncRNA from 10 species
AUGAGGAUGAAGAACUUUAUGAUGAUCCACCUCCAUUUAAUAUUAAAUAUAUUUAUUUUCCUUAUGAUUUUAUUAACAUUUUCUUUUCCCUAGCUUUCUUGUAAGAAUACAGUAUGUAACACAUAUAACAUACAACAUAUGUGUGAAUUAACUGUUUAUGUCAACAUGAUGAAACCCUGUCUCUACUAAAAAUACAAAAAAAUUAGGUGGGUGUGGUGGUGUGCACCUGUAAUCACAGCUCCUCUGGAGGAUGUGGCAAGAGAAUUGCUUGAACCUGGGAGGUGGAAGUUGCAGUGAGCCGAGAUUGCGCCAUUGCACUCGAGCCUGGGUGACAGAGCGAGACU